rnacentral:rRNA from 1 species
UCCUGCAGAUAUAUCACACUGCAACUCACAACUGGCAACUCACUGGAGCUCAGCAGGUGUGAGCCUGGUCAGUACCUGGAUGGGUGACCUCCUGGGAAAAACUAAGGUUGCUGCUGGAA